UUUAUCCUGAGUCUCCAAAAUCUAUACAAAUGCCCAGAAAGAACAAGCCACACAAAUGUAACAGCAGGUAAGCAAUCAGCAUUCUUAAUUUGAUAAAACUUAGAAUAAGAAGACAUCCACCAAUCAGAUUAAAUAUUCACAACAACAGCAUCUAAGGAACUAAUAAAGUAAUACAACAAAUUUUCACCUCGCGAUCCACUUCAAUAGAUUGUGUCAUAUUAACAGCUUUCAAAACCUCAAAAAGAACAUUAGCAGUUUGGUAAGCCUUUGUAAGCUGCGCACUGGAUACAAAGAGAAAACCAGCCAACAACAUAAACCAAGUUGGGAUUCAAAAGAAUAUCACCUAAACAAGCUUCUU
rnacentral:misc_RNA from 1 species